rnacentral:rRNA from 1 species
ACUGGAGUUUGAUCCUGGCUCAGAUUGAACGCUGGCGGCAUGCUUUACACAUGCAAGUCGAACGGUAACAGGUUAAGCUGACGAGUGGCGAACGGGUGAGUAAUGCAUCGGAACGUGCCCGGUCGUGGGGGAUAACGCAGCGAAAGCUGCGCUAAUACCGCAUACGAUCUGAGGAUGAAAGCGGGGGACCGUAAGGCCUCGCGCGAUCGGAGCGGCCGAUGUCAGAUUAGCUAGGUUGGUGGGGUAAAGGCUCACCGAAGGCAACGAUCAGUAGCUGGUCUGAGAGGACGACCAGCCACACGUGGAACUGAGA